rnacentral:rRNA from 1 species
UGGGUAGCUACGUGCGGACGGGAUAAGUGCUGAAAGCAUCUAAGCAUGAAGCCCCCCUCAAGAUGAGAUUUCCCAUAGCGCAAGCUAGUAAGAUCCCUGAAAGAUGAUCAGGUUGAUAGGUCUGAGGUGGAAGCGUGGUGACACGUGCAGCUGACAGAUACUAAUCGAUCGAGGACUUAACCAAAA